rnacentral:rRNA from 1 species
ACGAAGGGGGCGAGCGUUGUUCGGAUUUACUGGGCGUAAAGGGCGCGCAGGCGGCCGCGCAAGUCGAGUGUGAAAGCCCCGAGCUUAACUUGGGAAUUGCGCUCGAAACUACGUGGCUGGAGUGUGGCAGAGGAAGGUGGAAUUCCAGGUGUAGCGGUGAAAUGCGUAGAGAUCUGGAGGAACACCGAUGGCGAAGGCAGCCUUCUGGGCCAACACUGACGCUCAUGCACGAAAGCGUGGGGAGCAAACAGGA